CCUACGGGAGGCAGCAGUGAGGAAUAUUGGUCAAUGGCCGGAAGGCUGAACCAGCCAUGCCGCGUGAAGGUCAGUGCCCUAUGGGCGUUAAACUUCUUUUGUGCGGGAGCAAUAAUGGUCACGUGUGGCCAGACGAGAGUACCGUACGAAUAAGCAUCGGCUAACUCCGUGCCAGCAGCCGCGGUAAUACGGGGGAUGCAAGCGUUUUCCGGAUUUAUUGGGUUUAAAGGGUGCGUAGGCUGUGAGGUAAGUCAGCGGUGAAAUGCCCCCGCUCAACGGGGUGAAGUGCCAUUGAUACUGCCUGGCGGGAAUGCGGAUGCCGUGGGAGGAAUGUGUGGUGGAGCGGGGAAAUGCA
rnacentral:rRNA from 1 species